rnacentral:rRNA from 1 species
GAUGAACGCUAGCGGCAGGCUUAACACAUGCAAGUCGAGGGGCAUCACGGGUAGCAAUACCUGGUGGCGACCGGCGCAAGGGUGCGUAACGCGUGAGCAACAUGCCCUAUACAGGGGGAUAAUCCAGGGAAACUUGGUCUAAUAUCCCAUAGGAUUUACAGAUGUCAUCAUCUAUAAAUUAAAGCUUCGGUGGUAUAGGAUUGGCUCGCGUGACAUUAGCUAGAUGGUGGGGUAACGGCCUACCAUGGCCAUGAUGUCUAGGGGUUCUGAGAGGAAGACCCCCCACACUGGGACUGAGACACGGCCCAGACUCCUACGGGAGGCAGCAGUGAGGAAUAUUGGACAAUGGAUGGAAAUCUGAUCCAGCCAUGCCGCGUGCAGGAAGACGGCCCUAUGGGUUGUAAACUGCUUUUAUAUGGGAGCAAUAAGGUCUACGCGUAGACCGAUGAGAGUACCAUAUGAAUAAGCAUCGGCUAA